rnacentral:rRNA from 1 species
GGGGAUAACACUUGGAAACAGGUGCUAAUACCGCAUAACCAUAGUUACCGCAUGGUAACUAUGUAAAAGGUGGCUAUGCUACCGCUUUUGGAUGGGCCCGCGGCGCAUUAGCUAGUUGGUGGGGCAAAGGCUUACCAAGGCAAUGAUGCGUAGCCGAACUGAGAGGUUGAUCGGCCACAUUGGGACUGAGACACGGCCCAAACUCCCACGGGAGGCAGCAGUAGGGAAUCUUCCACAAUGGGCGAAAGCCUGAUGGAGCAACGCCGCGUGGGUGAAGAAGGUCUUCGGAUCGUAAAACCCUGUUGUUAGAGAAGAAAGUGCGUGAGAGUAACUGUUCACGUUUCGACGGUAUCUAACCAGAAAGCCACGGCUAACUACGUGCCAGCAGCCGCGGUAAUACGUAGGUGGCAAGCGUUAUCCGGAUUUAUUGGGCGUAAAGGGAACGCAGGCGGUCUUUUAAGUCUGAUGUGAAAGCCUUCGGCUUAACCGGAGUAGUGCAUUGGAAACUGGGAGACUUGAGUGCAGAAGAGGAGAGUGGAACUCCAUGUGUAGCGGUGAAAUGCGUAGAUAUAUGGAAGAACACCAGUGGCGAAAGCGGCUCUCUGGUCUGUAACUGACGCUGAGGUUCGAAAGCGUGGGUAGCAAACAGGAUUAGAUACCCUGGUAGUCCACGCCGUAAACGAUGAA